rnacentral:rRNA from 1 species
UACAGAGGUCUCAAGCGUUGUUCGGAUUUACUGGGCGUAAAGGGCGCGUAGGCGGCCACGACAAGUCACUUGUGAAAUCUCCGGGCUUAACUCGGAACGGUCAAGUGAUACUGUCGGGCUAGAGUGCGGAAGGGGCAACUGGAAUUCUCGGUGUAGCGGUGAAAUGCGUAGAUAUCGAGAGGAACACCUGCGGCGAAGGCGGGUUGCUGGGCUGACACUGACGCUGAGGCGCGAAAGCCAGGGGAGCGAACGGG